CCAAAAAAUAAAAAUAAAAAUAAAAGAAAAGAAAAAGAAAUUGAUUUAUAAUAACUGAAAACAAAGAUGGAAAGCGUCAUUCAUUCAAACAUUAUUAGCUGCUAUCAAGAUUGAAGUAACGCCUGGUAUGAUAGUUCAUACAAAUUUAAUUCCCCAUGGAACAACAUAAAUCAAUCUUUAUGUAAAGGAUCUCCUUUUUCUUUCAUUUAAUCCUUUUUUUGAGUAGAAGAAGCUGGUAGUUGUUUGGGGAUGGCAUGAAACGUGCGAAGUCUAGCAUUGCUGUCGGCAUACGAUUUUCCUAAACCAAAACCAAGGCCUCCCCAUACUGGCCAAGCAGCACCUGAACAAAAAAAUUUCGUUAAUAAUCAUAAUCAAACAGGAAACUUAUUGCAGGUUCUCAAUAUUACUUACGACGAAAGAAAAGCACAGAGCUCACAAUACCUGCGCCUAACCCAAUACCGGAUUGCACGACCAUGUUGGAAAGACACACGUCCCACUAAAACAGCAAUGUUGUUAGAAAAAGUAAAAAGUAACAUGAAACAAUCGACUUGAAGCAAUCAUAUGUAUCUUUCAACAGAUAUGUAUUACCGCAUCACCUUCAGAACUGGCUUCUUCAGGUGUCCUUAAAAAAUGUAUAUCCAUGUUUAACAGUAAUUCCUUUUUUUAUUUUGUUUCAUUAUUAUACGCAUAACAUACCUGGUAAUUGAGUGUCUGUUCACUUGAUUGAGAGGUUGACAUUGUAAAAAGGAAAGAGCGAAACUCGAAGGAAGCGUAAAAUUUAUUUUAUUCAAAAAAUAUACAAAGUCGUAUAUAUCAGUAAAACCUAAAGAAUUUGGAAAGGGGGGAUGUUGAGUUGUUCAAGAAGAAGUUCGUGAGUCCCAUCCGCAAGCGCUUGCACUCGCACUCGCUCGUUCAUGAUGUAAAUUCCUUUACAAAAGAGUAAAGUAGCAUUGCUACCUCGAAGUAGAACAGAGAUUAGACUAGGGCAUUAGUAUUCAGUAAACAAAUUCUAAAAAAAAUAAUAAAAUAAAAUAGUUAAAAAUAAAAAAUUCCUUCAACAAAUGAUUAAUCGUCAGGAAUAGCAUAAUUAGGAGUGAUUACUCUGC